GGCCCCGCCGUCUAGUGGUCUUGGACGUCUGGUUUUCAUCCAGAAAAUCGCGAGUUCGAAUCUCGCCGGGGUCA
rnacentral:tRNA from 1 species